GAUGAACGCUGGCGGCGCGCCUAACACAUGCAAGUCGAACGGCACCCCACCUCGGUGGGAAGCGAGUGGCGAACGGCUGAGUAACACGUGGAGAACCCGCCCCCUCCUCCGGGAUAGCCUCGGGAAACCGUGGGUAAUACCGGAUGACGCCCGGACGACGCAUGUCGCCCGGGCCAAAGCCCAGACGGGAGGGGAUGGCUCCGCGGCCCAUCAGGUAGACGGCGGGGUGAAGGCCCACCGUGCCGACGACGGGUAGCCGGGUUGAGAGACCGACCGGCCAGAUUGGGACUGAGACACGGCCCAGACUCCUACGGGAGGCAGCAGUGGGGAAUCUUGCGCAAUGGGGGGAACCCUGACGCAGCGACGCCGCGUGCGGGACGAAGGCCCUAGGGUCGUAAACCGCUUUCAGCAGGGAUGAGACAAAACGGUACCUGCAGAAGAGCCUGAMUUYG
rnacentral:rRNA from 1 species